rnacentral:rRNA from 1 species
GAACCGUCCAAACGUUAUUCGGAAUCAUUGGGCUUAAAGGGUACGUAGGCGGCGCUGUUAGUCGGGUGUGAAAUCCCUCGGCUCAACCGAGGAAUUGCGCCCGAUACUGCAGUGCUGGAGGGAGACAGAGGUAAGCGGAACUGAUGGUGGAGCGGUGAAAUGCGUUGAUAUCAUCAGGAACACCGGUGGCGAAAGCGGCUUACUGGGUCUCUUCUGACGCUGAGGUACGAAAGCUAGGGGAGCGAAGGGGAUUAGAUACCCCCGUAGUCCUAGCUGUAAACGUUGAGCACUUGAUCGUGGUCCCCCCCAUAGGAUCUCGGUCGUAGCGAAAGUGUUAAGUGCUCCGCCUGGGGAGUAUGGUCGCAAGGCUGAA